rnacentral:tRNA from 3 species
GGAGAGGUGCCGGAGCGGUUGAACGGGGCGGUCUCGAAAACCGUUGAACACGCAAGUGUUCCCAGGGUUCGAAUCCCUGCCUCUCCGCCA